rnacentral:lncRNA from 1 species
AAGAAAAAAAUACGGUAAUUUGCCAAUAAAUAGGUAAAAUAUUUCAGAUGACUGGGGUUGUUCAUUUAACCAAGAUUCUAAAGUUGAGAAAGGGCUAUAUUACUAGAGGAUAAUAGAUCAACCGUUUAUUUUCAAACUUGUAAAGCGUAGAACUGCGAUUUGCUAUUCAUCUGCAAUACGGUUUAUUUGUGCUGAAAUUGAAGGGGUCAGUAAAAUGGUUGUACCUGAGGAGUUACACCUCGAUAUUAUACAAAGCUUGUAAACAUAUCAGAUGAAUAUAAUUAUUUUUCACGCAAUCAUUCUCUUUCUUGAUUUAAUUACUCCGUUGUAAACAAUAAACUUUUUCAUUAAAAUCUUUUAACUUAUUAUCACACCACCUCCCCUCCCCCCCAAAACACAAAAAAAACCCAACAACAUUAAAAAAAACAACAUAAAAACUAUGUUAUUUAAGCAACAUGAAUUGCUUCCUCCCUUCCCUCUUUUCUGAAAUUUAAAAGGGUGACCAACGCAUUAUAUAAUAUACUAUUAAUAGGCACUAUUUUCUCAACCAAAUACCUAUUUUGUAUUGUUUAUUUUUGCUUGCGUAACUACCAGUAGG